rnacentral:rRNA from 1 species
GUAAAGCUCUUUUACCCGGGAUGAUAAUGACAGUACCGGGAGAAUAAGCCCCGGCUAACUCCGUGCCAGCAGCCGCGGUAAUACGGAGGGGGCUAGCGUUGUUCGGAAUUACUGGGCGUAAAGCGCACGUAGGCGGCUUUGUAAGUUAGAGGUGAAAGCCCGGGGCUCAACCCCGGAAUUGCCUUUAAGACUGCAUCGCUAGAAUUGUGGAGAGGUAAGUGGAAUUCCGAGUGUAGAGGUGAAAUUCGUAGAUAUUCGGAAGAACACCAGUGGCGAAGGCGACUUACUGGACACAUAUUGACGCUGAGGUGCGAAAGCGUAGGGAGCAAACAGGAUUAGAUACCCUGGUAGUCCACGCCGUAAACGAUGAUGACUAGCUGUCGGGGCGCUUAGCGUUCCGGUGGCGCAGCUAACGCGUUAAGUCAUCCGCCUGGGGAGUACGGCCGCAAGGUUAAAACUCAAAGAAAUUGACGGGGGCCUGCACAAGCGGUGGAGCAUGUGGUUUAAUUCGAAGCAACGCGCAGAACCUUACCAGCGUUUGACAUGCCAGGACGGUUUCCAGAGAUGGAUUCCUUCCCUUACGGGACCUGGACACAGGUGCUGCAUGGCUGUCGUCAGCU